rnacentral:misc_RNA from 1 species
GACUUUCGAUUCUAACACAUUCUAAAUUUCUCCUUUCUUAGCCCCCAUAGUAUCAAAGAAGCACAGACAACUGCAAUUUAUGUCGCUAUCAUGUUGUGAACUAAUUCUUUUAAGUUCUUUAAACUGCAACCUGGCACUCUUUCCAUACUUCUCUUCUUGAACCUCUCCUUUGUUUGAGCUGCUUCAUCCCAAUGACUAGCUGUAGCAUAGAUGUUGACCAACAACAAAUGACACCAAAAU